ACGACCUUAUUUGAACAGGAUCUAUUCUAUAGGCUCGUAUCUCUGCAUCCUUGAGUUCUAAGGAGGCAAGAAACCAUGUCUGGUGGAUGAACCAUGGCUGCUCGACUAGAGCGUGAUUAGCUGGUCCCGUGGCUCGGCUUGGCUGUGCCAUUGGACUCGCAGAGGAUCGUUCUUGGCUCGGCUUCGGUCAGGUCCGGAUGGUCCUGCAGCUGUCUGACAGACA